AUUUAGUGUAUAAUUCUUAAAACCCUGAAAUGUUACAGAUUUAAUUUGACCGACAGAAGCAAAAGACCUGUGAAUAUGUUAUCUUACAUGGCCAAAACGACGUUGCAGGUGUGCUGAAAGUCACAAGUCUUGAGAUGGGAAAAUUGUCCUGCAUCAUCCUGAUGGAUUACAUCUAAUCCCAUCGGUCCUUAAAAGAGAAGAAUCUUUCCCAGGGAGAAAGAUAUAAUAUGAGAAGGACUUGACCCUGUGUGUCUGGCUUUGAAGGUGGAGAAAUGUAGUCAUAAGCCAAUCAACGCAGCUGUCUCUAGAAGCGGAAACUACCUUCAGUACAGAACCAGCAGGAAAACAGAAACCUUGGUCCUAUAGCUGCAAAGAACAGAGCUCUACUAACCACAGCAGAGAGCAAAGAACAAUUGCCUUAGAGCUUCCAGAAACAAUGCAGCAGAUCACCAAUUUCCUUUUAGUCUGGCCAGUUGUGUAUAAACCUUCUGACCUAUAGUAUAGACCUGUGAGAUAAUAAAUAUGUGCUGUUUUAUACCACUAA